rnacentral:misc_RNA from 1 species
GAUGAAGAACGUAGCGAAACGCGAUAUUUCUUGUGAAUUGCAGAAGUGAAUCAUCAGUUUUUGAACGCACAUUGCACUUUGGGGUAUCCCCCAAAGUAUACUUGUUUGAGCGUUGUUUCUCUCUUGGAAUUGCCUUGCUCUUCUAAAAUUUCGAAUCAAAUUCGUUUGAAAAACAACACUAUUCAACCUCAGAUCAAGUAGGAUUACCCGCUGAACUUAAGCAUAUCAAUAAGCGGAGGA